GAUGAACGCUAGCGAUAGGCUUAACACAUGCCAGUCGAGGGGCAGCAUGGUCUUAGCUUGCUAAGACUGAUGGCGACCGGCGCACGGGUGCGUAACGCGUAUGCAACUUGCCUCACAGAGGGGGAUAACCCGUCGAAAGACGGACUAAUACCGCGUACACUCCAUCUUGGGCAUCCAAGGUAGAGGAAAUGAAAUUCGCUGUGAGAUAGGCAUGCGUCCCAUUAGCUAGUUGGUGAGGUAACGGCUCACCAAGGCGACGAUGGGUAGGGGAACUGAGAGGUGGACCCCCCACACGGGAACGGAGCAAGGGACAAGACAAAGAGGGGAGGCAGAGGGGAGGAUUAUGGGUAAAUGGGCGAGGGCUUGAACCAGCCAAUUCGCGUGAAGGAUGACUGUUUUAUGGAUUGUAACCUUUUUUUAGGCGGGAAUAACAAGAGUCCCGUGUCCCUCCCUGAGUGUCCGUUAUAAAAAAACACCGGCAAACUCCGUG
rnacentral:rRNA from 1 species